GUAAAAGCGAAGUGCCCCGGGCGUCUGGAGAAUGUAGUUCCUCACUCUCCUGGACCGGAAGUGAACUUCGUGGGCGAGAACAAGCCAGUUGCAAGCGCGCGCGGGCUGUAGCCGCUCCAGCCCUGGCUCGCGCGGGGCCGUUGGACGCCUCUCCCGGCCGGAGAAAGGGUUGUGCCGUUGGGGCUCUUGGCAUGCGCAGAUCGGGGAAGGGGAAGAGUCCCGCAUGCGCAGAGAGGCGCGUCACCAGCUGCUGGUGCCUGGAGCGCGGGGCGGGCGGAGCAGGAGGGUUUGUGCCGGUGUGUGACUGAGAUCAGGGCUCUUAUUGUACUGAGCGUGGUGCAGGCCUUGCCUGAGAUCAGGUCCCUCAGUGUGCCGGGCACUGCACAAGCCCUGACCGAGUUUGGGGCCCUGGUGGUGCCAGGAACUUUACAGACCCCUACAGAGAGCAGGGACCUUGUUGUGCUACAGUGACCCUGACUGAGCUCCGGGCCCCUGUUGUGCCAGGCCCUGCAUCAACACCAGGUGAAAUCAGGCUCCCAUUGUGCCAGGUGCUGCAGAGACAGGAAACAAAAUCAGGGACCUUGUUCCUGGAGCUGCAGAGACCCCAGGUGAGAGCUGGGCCCUGUUCUGCCAGGUGCUGCAGAGACCCCAACAGAGGUCAGACCCCACUGUUGUGACAGGUGCUGUGGAGAUCCCAACUGAGAUCUGCACCCCUGUUGUGCUGGGCACUGCAGAGACCCCCACAAACAUCAGGCCCCCCAUUGUGCCAGGCCUUCAAUUCUCCUGUUCAAGAGACAUCCCCCAGGGCUCCCUCUGCCUGGGUGACUGGCCAGCAGGGGGUGGUGGUAACUUUCUAUCCACUUAUCAGGCACUGUGAGGUAACACUGUUGCGGGGAGCAGAAGGGUGUCUGUGUGCGGAGAUUGCAGCUGAAGGGGGAUUGUGGUAGGGGGAGGUGUUUGGAUGUCUGAACAGGGGGUACCCUAGUCAGGUUGGUGGGUUCUGGAGGUUUGGGGUUUUGGGGGGCAGUUC